UAUUGGGCAAUGGGCGCAAGCCUGACCCAGCAACGCCGCGUGAAGGAAGAAGGCUUUCGGGUUGUAAACUUCUUUUAUCAGGGACGAAACAAAUGACGGUACCUGAUGAAUAAGCCACGGCUAACUACGUGCCAGCAGCCGCGGUAAUACGUAGGUGGCAAGCGUUAUCCGGAUUUACUGGGUGUAAAGGGCGUGUAGGCGGGCUUGCAAGUCAGAUGUGAAAUUCCAGGGCCCAACCCUGGAACUGCAUUUGAAACUGUAGGUCUUGAGUGCUGGAGAGGCAAUCGGAAUUCCGUGUGUAGCGGUGAAAUGCGUAGAUAUACGGAGGAACACCAGUGGCGAAGGCGGAUUGCUGGACAGUAACUGACGCUGAGGCGCGAAAGCGUGGGGAGCAAACAGGA
rnacentral:rRNA from 1 species